AUUUGUUUGGUUGUUCGUUUUUUUUUUAGCUAGAAGACCCUUCCUUCUUCAGUCUGGGCUGCACUGCAUGAGCCUGCACCCACCACCCAUUCUCUCCUGCCCCAGGCACUGCUCCAGCUCUUCCAUCCUGUGGAUGCCAGAAUCGCUGCUGGGAUGUGAGCAGAAAGGCAGGAGGAGAGGAGGUGGCACAAACAGCCCUUUCUGCUGGCCACCACUUGGCUUCAUCCCCAGCACUGCUUGGGUGGGCUCCCAGGGGAGCCUGCCCUGGUUGCCCCCCCCCCCAAACAUGGGGUUGUGCCAGUGCUGCUCUGGAGUGUUCACUGGAGGAACAGCUCCCUGCUUUCCUUCCACCCACAUCCACCUCCUCAGAGGAGGAUCCACUUCUUCACGCUAGUGCCUGGCCCCCUGUCAAGAGCUCCUGCAGGCAGCCAGGAGCUGCUCCUAAUGGGCUGCCGGGGGAUUUGGGAUCUGACAGCUGGGUGCUGACAGCUCCCUGCAACUGCUCACUCCAGCUGCUGGGCCCUCCUCUCCCUGGUCAGAUGGAGAAGGAUGCUCUGACAUCCACAGGGAGGAGGCUGGCUCCUUUUUCUCCCUUCACUGGGUGUUUGUGAUGGUGCUGGAGGGUUGUGGUACCCACUGCCUUGGUGGGGCUGUAAAGCCUUGGGGGACAAUGAUGGUACAGACAGAGGGAUCCCAGGCCGGAGGAGCUCUUGCAGGGUGAUGCUCCCAGAUGGGCACUGUGAGAGCAGAGGAGGUCUGGGUGUAGCACAGAACAAGUCUUGUUGCAGCUCCCAGCAGGGAGUUGGGAUGGGAGGCCCUUGUUAGCUGGGAGCAAGCGCUGACACCUCCAGGGGCUCCCUCUGCAGUGGCUCUGGGGCCUCCCAAGCUUUCUCCUGGCUGACACAUUGCCUCUCUUCUCUGUUUGAUGCAGGGCUCCUGUGCCUCCCCACAGACCCCACACGGGGGCUGGUGGGAAUCCUGGGGGCUCCCUGGGGUCCGGCUCCAUCCCAGCGGGGCCGUGGCAGCCCAGGCAGAGGGACUGUCCCAUCGUCCUCCAGCAUGGAGCAUCUCCCAGCCUGCCGUCUUGUAUGGCUUUUUAUUCCUAUGUGAUUAUACAUCCCACUUCAUAUAGGGAUUGAAGCCGUGCAGUACGCCGGGGUCCUACGGCAGAGAGAGCCCCUGUGCCACGGGAGCUGGCCUCGGAGGAGCCACCAGAGCUGUCCCCAGGGUGCUGGAGGAGGAUUGCUGGCCUCAGCCUGGACUCCGUCCUGCAUCCCAGGCUCCCCAGCCCUCUUGGGAUGCAGGUGAGGGGUGCCAAGCUGCUUUGGGGUGAGGCCAGCACAAGCCCACUUCUUGCAUGGCACCCCCUUGCAUGGGUGGGCCUGGUUCUGCACCACAUCUGCCGUGGAGAGCCCCAGUGACUGCACUGGUGGGCUCAUCCCUGGGGAAUCUCCUGCUUUGGCUUUGUCCCCGACUGUCCUGGGAUAUGCAGCAUUUAUGUGCAGACACUGACAGCAGCACAGGGGAGGAGGAAGAGGAAGAGGAGGAAAAAGAUGCUGAGGAAUGGCCAUGACAGCAAGGGCUGCCCCAGGCACGAUGCUCUUCAAGGUUUCUCAAGAGGCCUCAGCCACUCUUUCAAGGCACAGGCACCCCAGAACCAGGGGGGCACAGAGCUGCUCCCAGCACAGCCCACACACUGGGGGUGCUCAGUGGGACUGCAGCCACACUCUGGCGUCUUCAUUUGCACAGCUUUACUCCCACGAGGCCAAUAUCCCAUCCAGGACAGCAUGGACAAGCUGCAGAGCCCUGCUCAGCUCUGGUGACUCACUUGAGUUCACAAUGGGAAAGUCAUUGCUCCUGCCAAGCCCUGCCAGCCCAGAGGCAAAUCAUUACCAGGCAGGUAAGCAAUGUUCUCAUGUCUUAAGAUUUGUGUAAUCUCACAAAUCCUGCUAAACCUUGCCAGUGUGACCCAAAGGUAUGUUGGCUCAUGCAUGGGGCCUUUUGACCUUUUGUGAAGGGACUGCAGGUCAGAGGGAGCUGGUCUUGGGCUGGAGUGAUAGCAGACGAUUCCCUGCUGAGCACUGUCCCGAGGAAUAAGAUGAUGCUUUGUCUGUAAGGGCUGAGCACACUCCAGUGCUCAUUUUGUCCCUCAGUAGAAGUUGCACAAGGUCCACCAAAGCAAGCCCUUGGAAAUGGAGCUUUGAGUUAUCCAGGUAGAAGCAACAUAGAAGUAUUUCUGUAGCCUGGGUGUUCUUGCUGAACCUCCCGUGGGCUGUUAUCUCCUCAUUAGGAAAGAAAGGACAAGAACAAAAAUCCAUAUAUGGCCGCUAAGCAAAGGUAGAUGGGAAAUGCACUUCAAACAGCUCCAUCCUUUCAACAAACCUUUUAUUAGACUUCUCUCCUCCCAACACAUACUUUUUAAUCAUUAUGAAAAGCCACCAUUCAGGAAGCAAGAACACUGCUCGGGCUACCUGGAGUAGGCAUUUCCCAGGAGAAGCCAGCCUGCACUAGCCCACAUUCUUCUGGAAUUGACUGGGCGGCAGCACAAGCAGCAGCUCGAAGUUCAGGGUGGUGCUCAGCAAAGUGGCAGAGCUGUGGGCAGGGGGUUGUGGUGGCCCUGUGGCAGUGUGCCCAGGCUGGCACACAGGACCCUGCUGCAGUGACCCUUGUGCCAGGCAGCUCAGCCUGAAAGCGGAGUCACUCUGCAUUCCCCUGGAGCGGAAUGGCCCCGGGAGCAGCGGGCAGGCUCUGGAGCCAGCUUUACCCUUCUGUCCUGGCUGCAGCCCACACUUGUGGCUGUAUCACUGCCGUGUUAGUGCCCCGUGGAGUGCCCUGCUGGGCACGGAGCAGGCGACCUGCCAGCGGCCUCUGGAGAGAAACACACGGCACAAAGUGGCUUCUGCUGCACAACCACCCCCUGACAUUACAGGGGCACAGCGAGCUCUAUAACGCUUGGCAGAUUUUCCCCAGCAGAUCUCAGAGCUGUUUGCCACUGUGAGCAAGUUCAGGCAUGUUACAAAAGACCUUCAGACUCUGAGGACAAAUGAGAUGCGUGGAUAGGUUUAAACCACUGGGCAAGACUGGGGUUUUGAAAUUCCCAGGGCUGUGCCUUAUUCUGAGCCUGGGCUGUAGCCCAGACAGUCCAGCUGCCAGCCUGGCAUUGACACCAGGCCCCACGAUGUUCCUGCUGAUAUCCCCACUUGUUAGAUACUGGCUUCAAAACCAAAAUAGGAGGUUUUGCAUCCUCCUCAAAACCCCACCCUCUGAUGCACCUUGAAGUGGGGCGCAGAACGACUGACUGUUCAGUGAGACACCACAGGGUGUUGGCACAACGGUGUAUUUAUGUCACGAGAUGAGAUCAGCCACACGGAGUAGGUCGGUCUGUCUGGAAAGAGUCUGAGUCAAGCGUGUCCUAUUACAUUAGAGCUGGAUUUUCAAAGGAGCUCAGCUCCCACUUAGGCUCUGUAACAAACAGACAGAUAUUCAAAAGGAGUUGGAUGUGCUGGGUCAUACUGGCUGCUGAGCUAAAGCCCUUUGAAUAUCCAGCCAAACCGUCAGUGUGCCUGUUGCUGCAGGCAAAGCCCUCCUGAAAUCUAGCCCCACUCUGAGCUCCAUGUCCUGGGAAACCAAGCUCAUCUCUGCUCUCCCACAUAUCACACUGCAGCAGGUGACAAAAAUGUGAUUACUACAGUGUCCUCGUGCAUGUGGGGAGAGCAGCUCCCUGUCAGAGCACAGCUCUGGCAGAUUUGCCCUUUGAUCAGCUCAGCAUUGUGGGUCAGGAGAGCUGAGCAUGAAGGUUUCCUUGUCUUUUGUUCUGUGGAAUUAGCAGAGUUAAUCAGAAUGACAGCAACUUCUGCCUCAGUGCAGAGGAAAGGUCAGUGGCUCAGGCUGGAUGCACGACAGUUUUCUAGACAGUUGGAAAACAACACCAUGAAAGCUCAUAGCAUGCUUGCUGCUGGCACGGAGGUCAACAGGGACCAGCGGGGAAGAUGUUACUGUGGAGGGAAGGGGGCUGGAAGAAGACUCCACACAGCUGGCUUGUCACUGCAUUUCAUUCAUCCCCAUCCUAACACUGUAUAGUGAAGGUAUGUCAUCCUCUUUAUCACUGUGCACUGCUUGUGCCACCCAGCCAGUAUCACUCUGCCAAUGUGCUUCUUAGCCAUGCUCCUGGGUGUUCAUCCUGCUGGGCUUGGGGUCUCUGUUACCUCACUACGCUGCUGUGGGAAGAACUGUAGGGCACUGUGCUGGCAUGUGGAGCGGGUGCUGGGUGUCCUGCUCCCACCACAUCCCCCAGCAGCUCCAUGCUUCAGGUGAGCAGGCCUUGCUGUUACUGCUUUUACACCCUUCAGUUGCUGUAAUAGGCUCCAGUGGACCCCUAAAACUCCACUGCUGAGCUGCUCUUGAGCUCUGGGGGCACUGGAAGUGCAACAGUGCAGCAAGGGCUCUCCAUGGUAGCCCUGCCAUGGCCUCAACUUCCCCUCAUCUCUUAAAUUAACUAUAGUUGAAGCAGUCACAAGCUUUAAAUCCAGUUUCCUUAUCUGUAAUAUGACCUCUUACCUUCCUCUGAUCCUCCCAAUUACAAGUCUUGUUUUUGCCGUGGAUGUCCACUCAUGUGUCUAAUUAGUGGAUUCUUUCUGUCAAAGACACUAGCAGCCUCAACAGUGAGAUCUAAUUUAAGUAGUUUGCAUUUGUCCACAGCAUUGGUGCUUUAAUUUACUCCUGCUCCUAAUUAAGUGUAUUUGGGUAUCUGCAGAGGGAGCUCUCAUGAUCUCUCCAUGGCUCUAAUUAAAAUGGCCUGGAUGUCCAUGACAUUGGUGCCUGUCAAGCCUGUCACCAGGAGGUGAUGCCCACCUUGGAACUGGCUGAAGAACGUGUAGGAGUCAUUGUUCCUGAGAAAGGCCUCCACAUCCAAACCCUCCUGAAGUGCCUCAGCCACCAGCCCUGGGCUGCAGAAGGCUCCUGCUGCCUCUGUUGGCCCGUCCUGCCCAUCUGUUCCCCCACUGAGGAAGAGGAUCUCACACCUCCCCUGGGGGCUGCUGGCUCCUGUGCCCUGAGCCUUGUGCAGCCCCAGCCCCACACGCAGAGCCAGCUCCUGGUUUCUCCCUCCCUUGCCGAUUCCUUGGAGCUGGACUGUGGUUUCUCCACCAGCCAGGAUGCAGACUGGUCUGUCGGGCCCUAAUCCUCGCAGUGCCUGUAGAAACUCAUCCAGGUGCAAACCUGGGAUCUGUAGCUCUGCUGCCAGCUGCAGGAGAUUCCCUCUCAGCUCGUCACCCAGGGGCCCUUCUCCGCGGCUGGUGAAGCCCAGGCAGACCAGCUGGAUCAGCUGGCAGUACAGUGUGGCAACACGGCCAACUUCUCCAUGGACUGCUGCACUCAGGACCAGAGCAGCAUAGCCCAGGCCCUCAGCCUGGCGCCUGGCCUCUUCCAAAGCCAGCGUGUUGGACCCAAGGAUGAUGUUGGAAACAUGGGAGUAGUUUUCCGGAGCAGUGGGCUUGGUGGGAGAGCUGGAGAGGACCAUUUCCACUGACUUGGGCAGGUUGUGCAGCAGGUUGUAUUUGGUGAGUAUGUGAAGGCAGUCUUGGACGCUGUGGGAGCUGGCAGCAGUGGGCCCACUCGCUAUGAUGUCCAGGGGGUCACCUAUCACGUCAGACAGAAUGAGACUCACCACCUAUGGAAAGAAAUGCCCACAGAUUAUUGCAGGAGGCAAAGACAGCUGACCUCAAAAGAGCCCUGGCAUGAGCACUGCUCUGAGUGCCAUCCCCACAUCAAAGCAGAUGGAAGCAGGGUAGGUCUUCGCCCAUUUUUGUUUUAUGGACCUGUGAGUGUCACCUUGCCCUUCUCAAACCCACAGAUUUACAGUCCCCUUUGAAGCUGGACUAUUGUGUUGGAAGAUGUAACCUGUGACACUGCACUUGUCAGGCCCAACCUAGUGUGGGUUCAGCAAUGGCACAUGCUGAGAACAGCCCCCAGGAGAGCCAAGGGUCAAAGCCAGCCUUGAAAGCACUGUGCUGAAGCACCAACACUUGGAAGUGUCUGCUGGGUGUGGGCUGAGGUAUGCAGAGUGGCAUGAUGGGAUGGCUGAUGUUUCCCAAGUCUGAAUUCCCACCCUCCCAGCUCUGUCUCCCUGAGAGUUUAAGUCCAAAGUCAAAUCUCAGCUGGAGAGUCCCAAAACAGUGUGCAAAGUUGUUCACUCAAUAUGGACAAAAACCUGGCAAGUUGAUUAAACCUCUGUUUUGAGGACAGAAGGGUGAUCUCUGGGCAAACAGGGGCUUUCCCUUGGUUACCUGUGCAGGAUGUGCCAGCUGGGCCAGCCCUCCACCCUUCAGCACAGACAGAGUCUUCCGGACAAUGUUCAGCUCCUGUAUGGCAGCUCCUCGGGAAGCCAACAUCUUUGUGAGUUUCUCCUUUUCCUCGAGGAGGAUGGGAGGGAUGGGAGCAGGCAGUAGGGCUGAUCCACCCCCUAGGAUGCAGAAGAGAUGGCAAGGACAUCAGGAUAGCAGGAAAAGGAGGACAAAGGAGAGCAAGGCCUUAGCCUUUUCUUUUCACUCACCAGUGUCUGGAGGGAAGGCAGAGGUGACUGGGACCUAAGCUAACAUCUCUGGAGAAUUCAGUCAUCUUCAACAGUGGGUUUUAAUCACUUCUGUCCUGCACUCUGCAGUGAGCUACACUUCACCCAGGUAGGGUGAGCCUGGCUGGAUGGGGGCACCACAAGCCUGCAGUGUGGUGGGGAUGACAGAAGAGGGACAGCAAUUACCCUCACUUCUGCACUGGGCUACAGCUGGGUCCUCACUCUGAUAUUCAAGGGUUACCUGGGUGGCUGAGCAGGGAGCACGGCCUCCAAGGCUCACACAGCAGCCAGUGCUGUGCACAUGGGGACACUGCCUGCUUUGGUGGCUCCAUUUAUUCAGGACAGUGUGCAAAAACACUGGCUAGGGAUGCAGCAAGAUUGGAAACUGCUGAACUGCACUCAUCUGAGCCUGCAAAGAAAGAAAAGUGGGGACAGUAAUGCAAAGGACAAAGCACACUCUGAGUCCAGGGUGAUAGCUUCACUGAUGGGAAUUCUGUCUGAUACAAGCAGGCAUUGGAAAUGAGGAAAAGAAACCAAGGUUCCAAUGGAAAAGUGGAAUGGAUGGAAAAUACAGAGGAGAAAAGAGCAAGGUCUGUGCAAGAGUGAAUGUGCACAGAAGUACAGCUGAAUGCUACUGUCACAAUGCAAAGCCUGCUCAGAGGUUUGAGACAAAUCAGCAUCAAUAAAACAUGAUGAGCAAGAAAAACAAA